GCGGGCAUGGCGGAACUGGCAGACGCGCUAGAUUUAGGUUCUAGUGUCUUAGGACGUGGGGGUUCGAAUCCCUUUGCCCGCA
rnacentral:tRNA from 1 species